rnacentral:rRNA from 1 species
GAUGAACGCUGGCGGCGUGCCUAAUACAUGCAAGUCGAGCGAACGGACGAGAAGUUUGCUUCUCUGAUGUUAGCGGCGGACGGGUGAGUAACGCGUGGAUAACCUACCUAUAAGACUGGGAUAACUUCGGGAAACCGGAGCUAAUACCGGAUAAUAUUUUGAACCGCAUGGUUCAAAAGUUAAAGACGGUCUUGCUGUCACUUAUAGAUGAAUCCGCGCUGCAUUAGCUAGUUGGUAAGGUAACGGCUUAGCAAGGCAACGAUGCAUAGCCGACCUGAAAGGGUGAUCGGCCAGACUGGAACUGAGACACGGUCCAGACACCUACGGGAGGCCGCAGUAGGGAAUCUUGCGAAAUGGGCGAAAGCCUGACAGAGCAACGACGCCUGAGUGAUGAAGGUCUUCGGAUGCUAAAACUCUGUUAUUAGGAAAGAACAAAUGUGUAAGUAACUGUGCAGAUCUUGACGGUACCUAAUCAGAAAGCCACGGCUAACUACGUG